rnacentral:ncRNA from 1 species
AUACCCUUCCACUGUCGCUGCCAAUUCAGCGACCGGGUGUGGAAACCCGUGUA